AAAAAACAGUAUAAUAAUUUUUUGUUAAAAAAAAUUAAAAUAUUAUUCAUGUAAUUUUUGUGCUUUCUCAUUUUAGUAUCAUAUGGUUUAAAAUACCUCACUUCAGUACUCCAUGAUUUUAUUUUUUUUCUUUCCAUCAGCGCCUCCAUUAAAUCAUAUAUAAAAACUUUAAAUAUCUCACAUAUGGUUUAUUGAACAUUCACUUGAAUACCGUGCGGCUUACCGUAUUUUUACUUUAGUAUUUUAUGGUUUUAAUUUUAUCACUGUAUAACGGAAAAACUAAUGGAGGGAUAACGGAAAGAGAAAAAUGAAACCACGGGAUACUAAAGUGAUAUUUUUUAAACCACAAAGUACUAAUUAAAGUGAGAAAAUAUGAAACCACAACAGUGGUACACGAAGCUAAUUAGUUGGAAAUAUAAAUAAUGUGGUGCCACAGGGGUAGAUAACUUUCUGGGUUAAUUUCAUACAAAUCCUUGUAUAUAGUGAAUGGCAAAUAUAUCCUUACAAAGUUCAACUUUCAUAUAUUGUCUCUAUAAAAAUUCUGAUAUUUUCAAAUACGUCCCUGCCGUUAGAACCUGUUAGAAAACUUUAGUUAAUUAUAGGUUAAAUACUUAACUCUGGUUAAUUUUUAAUUUUUUUACUUUUUUAUAUUAUGCUGUUAUGGCUUUUGGAUAGAUAUAUUUGUGAAGACAAAUUGAAAAUAUAAACGGUUCUCUAACGAUAACAAACCAGAGGAAAAUAUUUGAAAAUAUUAGGAUUUUUACAGGAACAAUAUAUGAAAGUUGAAUUUUAUAAAAAUAUAUUUGUCAUUCACUAUAUUUAUAGUCCUGUAUGAAAUUAACUCUAACUUUUUCAUUUCUCUCU
rnacentral:lncRNA from 1 species